UUGACUAAUUUCCUGUGUGUGUGUCUGUGUGUAAGCCUGUCUGCCUGUGUGUGUGUGUGUCUAUGUGACUGACUGUCUGUGUGUGUGUGUGUGUGUGUGUGUAGCUGUCUGUUUGUUUGACUGUCUGCCUGCUUGUGUGUGUGUGUCUGUGUGUAUAACUGUCUGCCUGGGUGUGUAUAUGUGUGUGUGUGUGAGACUCUCUGCCUGUGUGUGUGUAACUGCCUGUGUGUUUGACUGCCUGUGUGUGGCUGUCUGCCAGUGUGUGUGACUGUCUGCCUGUGUGUCUAUGGCUGUCUGCCUCUGUGUG